rnacentral:lncRNA from 1 species
CGCUUCCCUUUCCUCUCUUCGUCGACGCCUCUCCUCCACUUCAUGACGACUGCCGGCAGCCCAGUCGGCACCGGCGACGUCUCCUUUCUCUCCUCGAUAAAUCUUCUCUCUCCACAGUGCGAUAUCUCCUUCUCUCUCUCCAGUCGGCGACAUCUCCCACUUCCCAGUCAAGGCCUCUCUCCCCCACUUCACUGACGAGUGCCGGCAGUCGGCACCGGCGACGUCUCCUUUCUCUCCCCAGUCGACAACGACGAUAAAUCUUCUCUC